rnacentral:rRNA from 1 species
UACGUAGGGCGCAAGCGUUGUCCGGAAUUAUUGGGCGUAAAGAGCUCGUAGGCGGCCUGUUGCGUCCGCUGUGAAAUCCCGGGGCUUAACCCGGGCCUGCAGUGGGUACGGGCAGACUAGAGUGCGGUAGGGGAGACUGGAAUUCCCGGUGUAGAGGUGAAAUUCGUAGAUAUCGGGAGGAACACCAGUGGCGAAGGCGGCGACCUGGGCCAAUAUUGACGCUGAGGUGCGAAAGCGUGGGGAGCAAACAGGG